rnacentral:rRNA from 1 species
CCCCGUGCUUAACGCGGGGAGGUCGGACAAUACUGCCAAGCUAGAGUGCGUCAGAGGGGAUUGGAAUUUCCGGAGUAGCGGUAAAAUGCGCAGAUAUCGGAAGGAACACCAGUGGCGAAAGCGACUCCCUGGGGCGCGACUGACGCUAAGAGGCGAAAGCUAGGGGAGCGAACAGGAUUAGAGACCCUGGUAGUCCUAGCCCUAAACGAUGGGUGCUAGGUGUGGGACGUAAAGUUCCGUGCCGGAGCCAACGCGAUAAGCAUCCCGCCUGGGGACUACGGUCGCAAGGCUAAAACUCAAACGAAUUGACGGGGACCCGCACAAGCAGCGGAGCGUGUGGUUCAAUUCGAUGCUACACGAAGAACCUUACCUGGGUUUGACAUGUACGUGGUAGAGAAGCGAAAGCGGAUUGACCCUUCGGGGAGCGUACACAGGUGCUGCAUGGCUGUCGUCAGCUCGUGCCGUGAGGUGUCGGGUUAAGUCCCGUAACGAGCGCAACCCUUAUCCUUAGUUGCACGUAUCUAGGGAGACUGCCGGCGGGAAGCCGGAGGAAGGUGGGGAUGACGUCAAGUCAGCAUGGCCCUUAUGUCCAGGGCUACACACACGCUACAAUGGCCGGUACAAAGGGCAGCAAAGUCGCGAGGCGGAGCGAAUCCCAACAAAGCCGGUCGUAGUUCGGAUUGCAGGCUGCAACUCGCCUGCAUGAAGCUGGAGUUGCUAGUAACCGCGCGUCAGCUAUAGUGCGGUGAAUACGUACCCGGGUCUUGUACACACCGCCCGUCACGUCAUGGAAGUCGGUAACGCCUGAAGGCGGUAUGCUAACCCGAAAGGGAGCCGCCGUCUAAGGUGGGGCUG